rnacentral:rRNA from 1 species
UACGUAUGACGCAAGCGUUAUCCGGAUUUAUUGGGCGUAAAGCGCGUCUAGGUGGUUUGGUAAGUCUGAUGUGAAAACGCGGGGCUCAACUCCGUAUUGCGUUGGAAACUGUCAAACUAGAGUACUGGAGAGGGGGGCGGAAUUCCAGGUGUAGAGGUGAAAUUCGUAGAUAUUUGGAGGAAUGCCGAUGGCGAAGGCAGCCCACUGGACAGAUACUGACGCUGAGGUGCGAAAGCGUGGGUAGCAAACGGG